CUUCUCUCUUCCGGACUUAAAUGGGUCAGCGACGCAUAGAUAAUGAGACGUUUCUUGGACUGUCAGGUUUUCUUGGUUCGGCUGUCCUGAAAUUCCUUAUCCGGACGAAAAGCGAUGACUCCCGAGGUGUCCGGAUAAUCGAGACAUGACAUUUAAAAACCAACAAGUUUCUGCGGGCCAGGUGGCGGGACCGAGCAGCAACUUCAGCGCCCCAAAAUAUGCACACGGUAUAUAGUUUAGCACACGACGGCGGCAGUUUCAAAUACAUGGUCUCCAGUUG